rnacentral:rRNA from 1 species
ACGGAAGGCAGCAGUGGGGAAUAUUGCACAAUGGGGGAAACCCUGAUGCAGCAACGCCGCGUGAAGGAAGACGGUCUUCGGAUUGUAAACUUUUGUUUUUAGUGAAGAUAAUGACGGUAGCUAAGGAGAAAGCCACGGCUAACUACGUGCCAGCAGCCGCGGUAAUACGUAGGUGGCAAGCGUUGUCCGGAAUUACUGGGUGUAAAGGGAGCGCAGGCGGGAAAUCAAGUUGGAUGUGAAAUGUCGGGGCUUAACCCCGGAACUGCAUCCAAAACUGACUUUCUUGAGUGAAGUAGAGGUAGGCGGAAUUCCGAGUGUAGCGGUGAAAUGCGUAGAUAUUCGGAGGAACACCAGUGGCGAAGGCGGCCUACUGGGCUUUAACUGACGCUGAGGCUCGAAAGUGUGGGGAGCAAACAGGAUUAGAUACCCUGGUA